rnacentral:rRNA from 1 species
GUGGGGAAUCUUAGACAAUGGGGGCAACCCUGAUCUAGCCAUGCCGCGUGAGUGAUGAAGGCCUUAGGGUUGUAAAGCUCUUUCAGUGGGGAAGAUAAUGACGGUACCCACAGAAGAAGCCCCGGCUAACUCCGUGCCAGCAGCCGCGGUAAUACGGAGGGGGCUAGCGUUGUUCGGAAUUACUGGGCGUAAAGCGCACGUAGGCGGAUCGGAAAGUUGGGGGUGAAAUCCCAGGGCUCAACCCUGGAACUGCCUUCAAAACUAUCGGUCUGGAGUCCGAGAGAGGUGAGUGGAAUUCCGAGUGUAGAGGUGAAAUUCGUAGAUAUUCGGGGGAACACCAGUGGCGAAGGCGGCUCACUGGCUCGGUACUGACGCUGAGGUGCGAAAGCGUGGGGAGCAAACAGGAUUAGAUACCCGGGUAGUCC